rnacentral:rRNA from 1 species
AGUGUACGCUGGCGGUAGGCCUAACACAUGCAAGUCGAACGGCAGCACAGUAAGAGCUUGCUCUUACGGGUGGCGAGUGGCGGACGGGUGAGGAAUACAUCGGAAUCUACUUUUUCGUGGGGGAUAACGUAGGGAAACUUACGCUAAUACCGCAUACGACCUACGGGUGAAAGCAGGGGAUCUUCGGACCUUGCGCGAUCGAAUGAGCCGAUGUCGGAUUAGCUAGUUGGCGGGGUAAAGGCCCACCAAGGCGACGAUCCGUAGCUGGUCUGAGAGGAUGAUCAGCCACACUGGAACUGAGACACGGUCCAGACUCCUACGGGAGGCAGCAGUGGGGAAUAUUGGACAAUGGGCGCAAGCCUGAUCCAGCCAUACCGCGUGGGUGAAGAAGGCCUUCGGGUUGUAAAGCCCUUUUGUUGGGAAAGAAAAGCAGCAGGUUAAUACCCCGCUGUUCUGGCGGUACCCAAAGAAUAAGCACCGGCUAACUUCGUG